GACGAACGCUGGCGGCGUGCUUAACACAUGCAAGUCGAACGGAAAGGCCCUGCUUGCAGGGUACUCGAGUGGCGAACGGGUGAGUAACACGUGGGUGAUCUGCCCUGCACUUCGGGAUAAGCUUGGGAAACUGGGUCUAAUACCGGAUAGGAACCAUCUUUAGUGUGGUGGUUGGAAAGUUUUUUCGGUGUAGGAUGAGCUCGCGGCCUAUCAGCUUGUUGGUGGGGUAAUGGCCUACCAAGGCGGCGACGGGUAGCCGGCCUGAGAGGGUGUACGGCCACAUUGGGACUGAGAGACGGCCCAGACUCCUACGGGAGGCAGCAGUGGGGAAUAUUGCACAAUGGGCGCAAGCCUGAUGCAGCGACGCCGCGUGGGGGAGGAAGGCCUUCGGGUUGUAAACUCCUUUCGCUAGGGACGAAGCUUUUUGUGACGGUACCUAGAUAAGAAGCACCGGCUAACUACGUG
rnacentral:rRNA from 1 species